rnacentral:lncRNA from 1 species
GAUGACAAAGAAAAGAAGGAACACUGGUUGUGCCAAAAAGGGCCAUGGCCAUGUGCAGCCUAUUUGCUGCACAAACUGUGUCCAAAGACAAGGCUGUUAACAAAUUCAUCAUUUGAAGCAGUAGAGGCCACAGCAGUCAGUAACGUUUCUGAAACAAGCAUCUUCAAAGCCUACGUGCUUCCCAAGCUGCACGUGACGCUACACUGCUGUGUGAGUUGUGCGAUUCACAGCAAGGCAGUCAGGAAUCCAUGUCGUGCAGCCUGCAAGGACCAAACAACCCUACCUGGAUUUAGACCUGUCUGUGCUGCCCCACAACCACCAUCAAAGCUCAUGU